GACAGAGGGUGCAAACGUUGUUCGGAAUUACUGGGCGUAAAGCGCGUGUAGGCUGCUUCGCAAGUCGGAUGUGAAAGCCCUGGGCUCAACCCAGGAAGUGCAUUCGAAACUGCAGAGCUGGAGUCCUGGAGAGGAAGGCGGAAUUGACGGUGUAGCGGUGAAAUGCUUAGAUAUCGUCAAGAACACCUAUAGCGAAGGCAGCUUACUAAGCUGUAACUGACGCUGAGGCACGAAAGUGUGGGGAUCAAACAGG
rnacentral:rRNA from 1 species